rnacentral:rRNA from 1 species
UACGGAGGGUGCAAACGUUACUCGGAAUCAUUGGGCGUAAAGCGCACGUAGGCGGCCUGAUAAGUCGGGUGUGAAAGCCCUGGGCUCAACCCAGGAAGUGCACUCGAAACUGUCAGGCUUGAAUAUGGAAGAGGGUCGCGGAAUUCCCGGUGUAGAGGUGAAAUUCGUAGAUAUCGGGAGGAACACCAGUGGCGAAGGCGGCGACCUGGGCCAAUAUUGACGCUGAGGUGCGAAAGCGUGGGGAGCAAACAGG